UGGGGAAUAUUGCACAAUGGGGGGAACCCUGAUGCAGCAACGCCGCGUGAAGGAAGAAGGCUUUCGGGUUGUAAACUUCUAUCAAUAGGGACGAAAGAGAUGACGGUACCUAGAUAAGAAGCCCCGGCUAACUACGUGCC
rnacentral:rRNA from 1 species